AAUUCUCAAAACCCUUUCUUUGGUCUCUUGAUCGGGGGAAGGAUUUUGGACUUGGAGGCCUUUUGCUGGUUUCACCUCGAAGCGAGCUCCUCCCAAAUGAAUUAGUGGGGUCUGCUUUGCCGAUCCUUGGCGUGAUAAGUCAUUUCUACGUCGGUUUUUUGGCACUGUACACCUGCUCCCACCCGUCUCAUUGACAAACGAGGGUGUUCCGGUCCCCGCCGAUUCGUCGGUGGGAGGCUUGACCCACGAAAUGAAC
rnacentral:misc_RNA from 1 species